AGGAUCCUGGACUGACUGCGUGCUCGAGCUGGAUACCUCCACGUGUGAGCUCUCCAUGGCCAAUACAAUGCCUAUUCCCUUCUAAUAUUGAUCAAAACAUCUUGCAGGAGACUGUACACAAAAGAAAAAGGGUUUCGAGCCAUACGCCCAGGACCUGUACAGGAUGGCAAUAACAACUGCCCAAGUUUUACCAGGAACAUUCAAUCCCUCAUCUGUGCUGACUGUCUGCAAUAGGCUGAGAGAGGCUGGACUGAGGGCUGGUAUGCUUGUUGGAAGGCAGGUCCAUACCAGACAUCACCGGCAACAAUGUCGCCUACAAAGUCGCCUACAUUCGCUGGACCAGACAGGACUGGUAAAAAGUGCUCUUCAAUGACUAGUCGUGGUUUUGUCUCAUGAUGGUCGGACUCGGAAUGAGGCCUGUACUCUGGAUUGGGAUUGAUUUGGAGGUGGAGGGUCUGUCAUGGUCUGGGGCGGUGUGUAACCGCAUCAUCGGACUGAACUUGUUGUCAUUGCAGGCAAUCUCAACGCUGUGCGUUACAGGGAUAGACAUCCUUCUCCCUCAUGUGGUACCCAUCCUGCAGGCUCAAUGACAAUGCCACCAGCCAUACUGCUCAUUCUGUGUGUGAUUUCCUGCAAGACUGGAAUGUCAGUAUUCUGCUAUGGCCAGCGAAGAGCCCGGAUCUCAUUCCCAUUGAGCACGUAUGGGACCUGUUGUAUCAGAGGGUGUGGGCUAGUGCCAUUACCCCCAGAAAUGCAAGUGCCUUGGUGGAAGAAUGGGGUAACAUCUCACAGCAAGACCUGGCAAAUUUGUUGCAGUGCAUGAGGAGAUGACUGAAGAACUUAAUGCAGCUGGUGGCCACACCAGACACUGACUGUUACCUUUGUUCAGGGACACAUUAUUCCAUUUCUGUUAGUCACAUGUCUGUGAAACUUCAGUUUAUGUUUUAGUUGUUGAAUCUUUUUAUGUACAAAUAUGCACACGUUAAGUUUGCAGAAAAUAAAAGCAGUUGAAAGUGAGAGGAUGUUUAUAUCCAUGACAGCCAAC